GAUGAAGAACGCAGCGAAAUGCGAUAAGUAAUGUGAAUUGCAGAAUUCAGUGAAUCAUCGAAUCUUGGAACGCACAUUGCGCCCCUUGGUAUUCCGAGGGGCAUGCCUGUUCGAGCGUCAUUAUAACCCCUCAAGCUCAGCUUGGUGUUGGGGCCUGCUGCACUGGCAGCCCUUAAAAUCAGUGGCGGCGCCAUCUGGCUCUAAGCGUAGUAAUUCUUCUCGCUAUGGAGUCCUGGUGGAUGCUUGCCAUCAACCCCCAAUUUUUCUAUGGUUGACCUCGGAUCAGGUAGGGAUACCCGCUGAACUUAAGCAUAUCAAUAAGCGGAGGA
rnacentral:misc_RNA from 1 species